GUGCCAGGCUGCCAACCACUGCCCUUGCACCUUAUCCCCAUCCCCUCGUCCUCGCGCUCAACCCACGGCCCUGUCGCCGUCGCCGCCGUAUUAUCUCUCCACCACGGUCCUGCUACCGUCGCCGCCGUCGUCGCGCUCUCUCCGAGAUCCAGCCGCCAUCCUCGCGCUCCGCCCAUGAUGCAGCAACCGUCGCCGCGCUCUGCCCGGGAUCGAGCCGCCGUCCUCCGCGCUCUGCCUGAGAUCCAUCCGCCGUCCUCGCGCUCAUGGAUCCACCCCCUCCCCUGAUCCCCGUCCUCCAGCCCCCAACUUUGUCUGCCAUCUCCCUCGCGCUUCUCCCCUGCCGCUCCCCGGGCCCCAGCCCUACCAUGAGCUCUCCAUCCGUGCUCCCCGUUCCUACUGCCGCUGAUAGAGAUCCAUCCACGAGCUCUCCAUCCCGCUGCGCCCCUCCCAAAGCCAGCCGUCUGUUGCUGCAGAUAUCCGCACAGACUCGUCUUUUCCAAUAGGAGCGGUUGUACAUGAUGUUGAGCCUACAGGGCAGCAAGUACGUGGUACUACCUGUCAACGAGGACGAGGAGGUGGGCGAGCGGAGGGCGCCGAGGUGGACCCUGAGUCCAGUCAGCGUUUGAGGAGGCACAUUCCAAUUUUAUUCUCCAUCACUUUUGAAUACACUGGAUAUUUAUGAAUAACGGUGUCUUCGUUUGAUAUAAUUUUUUUAUGAUGGUUGAUACAUGUCUACACAUUUUGUCAGAGCAAUUUGCAGUGGAAGAAGUAGCCUCAAACUGAUAAGAAGGCACCUGCUAUUUCACGGUUAUUUUGUUGUAGAUCAAGGAUGACAAGAAGGCAACUAAUGUACCAGGUGCAGGUAAUCAGCAACCUAGUACGCAUGGAUGUGAUGACUUUGAAGUGUUCUGGAGCAUUUGGCUGUCUAUAGUAUUUUGGACCAGCCAACUUAAUUGUAAUCGUGAAUCUUAUGUGUUUUCUGGACCAUUUGGUGCUCAAGUGUUAUGGAGUAGAAAUCUUGUGCUCAUGGAUGUUACUCAAUUAUUUGGACCAUCUAGUGUUUGAACUAUUUUAGACCAGUGAAUUGGGGUCCUUUUAUGUGACUUGUGUUUUCUGGA